CCAGGCGCGCCUGUAAUCCCAGCAACUCGGGAGGCUGAGACAGGAGAAUCGCUUGAACCUGGGAGGCCCAGACCCCGCGGGAAUUGAAAUCUUACCACACCUGCUGCAGCAGCAGAGAGAGAGAUCCCAAUUGCCAGAGAGGGCACAGAAAUACAGGAAGCAAUAAUGAGUUUCAUAAGAAGUGGAGGAAUCAUAACAGGAGCAUUGGAACAUCAGACAGCUGGAUCCUCCGAGUGGCCUGGCAGUCCUGGCUCCUUCCGGAGUGGCCAACCCAGCUUCCUAGGCUGAACACCGGACUGGCCUCCAGGAGCAGGAGGGUGAUGAGGAAAAAGGCAGCUCAUCCAAGCUGCUGUCUAGUUAUCCCCAUCUGUCCAUCUGUCUCCUCAGCAAACACAUUCUUAGUCACCACCUGGAGCCUGUGACUCUCCCAGUUAUCUAAAGGGACAAACCCUUGGCCUCCUCUUCCCACUGGUGCACUACUGUGCAACCUGCACAGGCUGUGGUCAUCUGACCCACUUCCUCUCUUUCAUUCAUAGGACUUGAUGUAAAUCAAGGCUCUGAGGGGACGAUGGUGCCCAUAUAGACCCACAUUGAACUGUCAGUUGUCAGGAGCUAUAAAAUCCUUCCAGCAGCCACGGGCAGGCUGGCAAGACUCCUAGUGGGUGGCACAGCCCUGCCCCCUGCUGCUCAACAUGGAAGCUGCAGGAUAGGUGACCCUGGCCAGGCUGGGAGUCUUUAUGGACUCUACUGGGACAGUGGCCUCCAGACACCGGUUUUGAAAAUUCAUCUCUUAAAUUGAGUUCUCUGCAGAUCUCCCCUUGUUCUAGAUUGAAUUGUAUCCCUCUAAAAUUCAUAUGUUGAAGGUCUAAUCCCCAGUAUCUCAGAAUGUGACCCUAUUUGGAGAUAGGGUGUUACAGAUACAGUUAAGAUCAAGUCAUAAUGAAGUAGUGUGGUCCCUAAUGCAAUAUGACUGGUGUCCUUAUUAAAAGGAAAUGUGGGCAACACGUGCAUGCAGGGAACACAAAGGCAGGGACUGGGGUGAUGCAGCUCACACGCCAGCAACCACAAAAAGCUGGGACAGAGUUCUAGAACAUUCUCCCUCACUGCCCUCAGAAGGAGCCAGCCCUGCUCACACCUUGCUUUUGGACUUCCAGCCUCCAAAAAUGUGAGACAAUAAAUUUUUAUUGUUUAAGCCACUCAGUUUGUGGCACUUUGUUACAGCAGCUGAUUAUGACCAAACUAAUACACUCCUCGUCCAGGGUGUUCUUAGGGUAGUUGGGAGUGGUUUUAAGGCUUUACGGCAUGCAUAUUAUGAAUUCUAAAGAUUUCUCCGAAAACUUCGCCAAGAAAUUACACAGUGGAAUGGAAAAUGCAUUGGAUCCCAGAAGACCAAGGUUCUAGACCAGGGAAGAGCUGUGUGACUUGGAACAAAUGCUAAGCUCUGAGCAUCGUUUAUAAAUGAAAGAUCUGUACCUGAUGCCCUCUAAAGUGCCUUUCAG
rnacentral:lncRNA from 10 species